ensembl:lncRNA
AUAAAAAUCUCCAAGGAUCACAGCUGGAGAACUGCAGAAGUUAGUCAUGUCUUGGGGUCAGAAAGUCUCCAAAACUACAAUCUGAAGUCACCUACAUCACCACAAGCUCUUUGGAAGGGUUUCAAGAAAAAAGCCUCUACUCUCAUCCAAAAACAAACUCGAGCAUCUUCAGUGUGCAGACACUACUGGAACUUCAAAUGGGAUCGGGUUCUAUGCACACAGAGAGGUAGCCAUAUGGAAAAGUACCUCAUGCCCACGGUUAAAUAUGGAGGUGGAUCUUUAAUGUUUUGGGCUGUUUUUCUGAAAGAGGACCUGGACAUUUUGUUAGGAUACAUGGCAUCAUGGACUCUAUCAAAUAUCAACAGAUAUUAAAUGAAAACCUGACUGCCUCUGCCAGAAAGCUUCAAAUGGGCCGUGGUUGGAUCUUCCAGCAGGACAAUGAUCCAAAACAUCAUCAAAAUCAACACAAAAAUGGUUCACUGACCACAAAAUCAAGGUCCUGCCAUGACCAUCCCAGUCCCCUGACCUGAACCCCAUAGAAAACCUGUUGGGUGAACUGAAGAGGAGAGUUUUUUUUUUUUGAUAAACCUGUGUUUUAUUUGCAAUUGUUUGGUAUCCUGAGAGCAGAGUAUAUUUUUGAACAAAAGAUCAGAAGGUUAAACAAUAAAGAAUUUUUCACAGCCUUCUUUGCUCAUAUUUACCAAGAGUGCCAAUAUUAGUGGAGGGCGCUGUAUCUCUCUAUCCAAUCAACUCUACAAGUAUUGCCACCCUAUCUAUCCAUCUAUGAGGUUCCGUUAGAUACCGGGUUUUGGCCUUUAAACAUUCAAAAUGUCUGAUAAAAUCAAAAAUGGUCAGACAUAAUACCUGGUAAAAACAUUAACCCAAAGCAGACGUUAGACAAAGUACGUUCGCAAUUACACACUUAAAUAAGGUCUCUGUCUGAAACAAAUCAGCGUGGGAAAUUAUACGAUUUUCAUUAUUUCAACAUUUAUUUUAAACGAAAAUAUAUGUGGCAAACUGCAGUUUAACGUUUUACUAGCUGCUAAUUCCACAACUGUCGUUUGUUAUUUUGAAUAGUGUGGAAAAUAAUAUAUAAUAAAUAAACUUUCAUCUUUCAUUUGAAUUGAUUGUUUUGUUGUUAUUAGUAUAUUGCUGUAACACAUCUCAGUUAUGUGAGGAAUGUGGAGGCAGAAGGCAGGCUGAUUACAAAGCAAAAGCCUUUUUAUUCUUUCUAUUCUUACUUUCGCUUUUCAACGGAUUCAUUCAACCACACACAUCUCUGUGCUGGUCGUCUCUCUCUCUCUCUCUCUCAUUAUGGGAGGCAUUGAAAGCACAAACAGACACACACAAGUAAACUCGGGCUAAAAUCUGACACUCGACCACACCUCCGCUAUCACAGUCGCAUAUAGUAUGCAGUCCAAAACGUUACAGUGCAAAAUAAACACAGAAACGAGACAACCGGAUUUUAUUUAUUUAUUAUUUUAAACGUUAUCAUUCUCAGAUACAUUGGCCAGCAACAAAACUUCUUAGAGGAAACUCUAUCUAUCUAAUUAACUUUACAAUUAUUAGCACCCUACCUGUCUCUCUUUCUUAAAACUGUACAUUACCUUCAGAGUUCAAACUGAUCACUAUUUUAAACUUUCAAACUGGCUUUGUCAAGCCAACAACAAUGUCUGUCAUGACGAACUUUACCUACUCAUUUGAUAAUUAGCAAGCUACUUAGCACGAGUAGCGAUAAUGCCGAAUUGACCGUGCAAGCAAGGAGAGCUAUUUAACCUUAAUUCUAAAUUGUAGCAGUGAAAAAAAAAGUCUGUGCAGGUUGAUGGCAAGAAAGUGGUUUACUUCAGACUAGCGACAUGCCGUGGUAUUUUACAGGGGCGCGGUUUCAUUGUACAGUAUUGCUUUCUCAGCUGACCCUAGUGUCAGGCUUCAAAUUUGAGCUAGCUAGCUAUUUUGUUGACACUACAGCCUGGUAUUGACAGGUUUCAGUGUAUAGUCAGUGAAUUUAGCUUAAAU